AGAGGUGUGUCCCAGAGCUCAGGGACUUUGCUGCCUGUGUCAGGCAGCCUGACGGCAGAUGGCAGCCUUAAAUCGUGCAGGAUGUGCACUAUUUUAGACCAAGAGGCAGCAAGGAAACAGUCCCUGGGAUUCAAAAGGCAGCAUCCACUGGAGAGGGUUUGGCGUCUGACACCCACUUUGGAGCUGAACCCUGGAGCUGCGUGACCCCCCUGCCCUUCCUAAAGAGGUUCAAGUUCCCAAAGGACAUUACAGUGACUACAAUCCGAGCAUGUGGACUUCUGGUCUUCUCAGUUCAUCCUGCAGGUGAUGGUGUGAACAACCUUGGCACUCAGAUUUGUGCUCAAAGAAGAAUGGCCCCCAGCUUAGAUGUAUGUGUGCAUCCCGGGUACAUGCUGGGAUGAGACCUUUUGACAACUCUUUUCACCCUGCUCCUGAUUUUCCUGGGGUUUUUAGAAGACCAAGGACAUGUAGUGAGCAAUCCAGACACUUUAGAUAUGAACUUGAUUAGUCUGUAAAGUGCAGGCCUCAAAGAUGCAGCAAGGUUAAUCAUGGUUGAAGAAAUGCUGAUACAAGCUUAUGCAGCAGAAAAAUGAGGAAGAAAGGCAAGUGUACGUGGCUGAAGCCAGUCUGAAAAAGCAGGAUGCCAUGGGGGAAUCUAGUGCUCGCAGACAAAGAGGACUGAGCUAGCGGAAACGGUUUAAGGACGCACGAACAGCUCAUUAAUAGUGCAUGCAACCAAUCAGAUUUUAGCUAUCGCAUAAUAAGGGAGUAAAUAGUGUAUAUAAGUCUGAUGAUUCUGCUAAUAAAGUGACUACUGUCUGAUCAUAUUGAUCGUGUGACUAGUCCGUGACUUCGGCGUCGACAAGCUAUGGUACAAAAAGGAGCCAAAGGAUAUUCCAGGUUAUCCAAGAAAACAAAAGAAAACCCUGACUAGACUUUUCCACACCACUGACUACCCAAAGCUUUUGUUGGCUGCUACAAAUCUGGACUUGGAAGACUUUGUGCAACAUAUAGAUAGAACGGGUGGUGUGGAGAAUAACUGAAAACACAAAACCACACUCAGGGUUUAGGGUAUGGAAUUUAGGAUACUUCUGCUUUGGGUGAGAGAGAGAGUCAAAGACAAAGAAGUUUGACACAGAACCAGUCCUAGCAGAAAGUUUUCAGUAAAAUGUAAGGAAUUCAGGAAGAAAUCAUUGCUGGAGAUAAUUUUUAUAACAGUUCUCAGAAGAUUGACAUGGCAAAGGAAAAACAGUGGUAAUGAAGAUUUUAAUGUCUUUGUUGCCAGUUAGACUCUGAAUAUUUUUAGUAUCUUCUGUGCAAUAAGAAAGUCAUCUUGAUGCAUCUCAAUGGACCAGAUAUCCACAAUUGUUCUCAUUGGCAGUUCUAACUAAAAAACCCAAGCAAUUAACACGCAAAACUCACGUCAGUGUCUCACCUAGAACAAGACCAUUCAGGUAAAGGCUAAUGGAGCUUUAAUGAUGUCUAUCUAGAAAACUGAAAUGGUCAUUUCCAGCACAGCCAGCCAUAUCCUUUUUACUAGCAAAACCAGGAAAGUAAUGUUGUGAGUCUGGGAUACUGUAUGUUGUCAUAAGAUGGAGGUAUACAAUUAAUGGAGACAUAAGCUUUAAAGUAAAUGUAAAGAAUCUUGUGGAGAAACAUAGUAACUUGAACCUCCUCCUGCUGGGGCUAGUGACAAUGACCAUAUCCAUUUCCUUGUACUUGGUUGGUUUUCUUUAAUAAUAAACCACCAACUAAGUCAUAAGUGGUAAACAGAGAAAAUGGCUAAAAAUCACUUUUCAAAGAAUAUCACAUAGUUGUAUUCCUGUUUUUGCAUAUCCCUAACAAAUAACCUGCACUGACUUUCGCAGUGAGUCAGGGUCCUCUGGCCUGGCUCAGAACAGGCAGGGGCUGCUCAUCAGUCCUUGGAGUGAGGGUUAAAUCAUCUGCUGCCUAACUGAUCAGAGCCAGAGGAGUUCACAUGAGCUAGCAAAGGAAAGUCAUAAUCUCUAUAUAUUUAUUAUACUUUCAGGCAACUCAUUCUGCCUCCAGCCUAGCCCCAGGACACAGCAACCCAAAACCUUGUGCUCCCACUAUUCUGAUUGUAAGAGCUUUUUCACCUUUACCCAAGGAAUGGUAUCUGUGUGCUCUGAACUGAUAAGAGCUGGUGGAAAUCUUGCUCUGAGAGUGCCCGUGAGAAGGAAUGUUUAACUUCUAAGAGCAGGGAAGAGCAACCAGUUAUUCCUUGUGUUUUUAUUAUUUGUGUCUUAAUCCUGUCCAGUUUGGAAAGUAUAAAAACAAAGGAUACUUUGUUUUAUGUGGAUACUUUUCUUAUGUGAACAUAAAUAUGGAUUAAUACCUCUAACCUUACAGAAAAAUAGGAGGUGUAGAGAGAUCAAAAGGAGGGGAAAUCCACAUGGGCCUAGAAAAAUGUUAACAUUUUUUACAAAUAAACAUAAUGUGUAGUUGGAUGAUCAAAGUUGCUGGAUUAGUUCAAAUAUUAUUCUUGGAACAGAGUAGCAAACACUCCAUUGCUGUUUCUCACUUAACCUUAUAAAUAAAACCUUGUAAAUAUCAUUAGACAUUCAAGUGUCAUAUAUUGCUCUGAAAUAAAUGCAGCUCUCCU